AGUGAACGCUGGCGGUAGGCCUAACACAUGCAAGUCGAACGGCAGCACAGUAAGAGCUUGCUCUUACGGGUGGCGAGUGGCGGACGGGUGAGGAAUACAUCGGAGUCUACUUUUUCGUGGGGGAUAACGUAGGGAAACUUACGCUAAUACCGCAUACGACCUACGGGUGAAAGCAGGGGAUCUUCGGACCUUGCGCGAUUGAAUGAGCCGAUGUCGGAUUAGCUAGUUGGCGGGGUAAAGGCCCACCAAGGCGACGAUCCGUAGCUGGUCUGAGAGGAUGAUCAGCCACACUGGAACUGAGACACGGUCCAGACUCCUACGGGAGGCAGCAGUGGGGAAUAUUGGACAAUGGGCGCAAGCCUGAUCCAGCCAUACCGCGUGGGUGAAGAAGGCCUUCGGGUUGUAAAGCCCUUUUGUUGGGAAAGAAAAGCAGCAGGUUAAUACCCCGCUGUUCUGACGGUACCCAAAGAAUAAGCACCGGCUAACUUCGU
rnacentral:rRNA from 1 species